rnacentral:rRNA from 1 species
AUUGAACGCUGGCGGCAUGCCUUACACAUGCAAGUCGAACGGCAGCACGGGUGCUUGCACCUGGUGGCGAGUGGCGAACGGGUGAGUAAUACAUCGGAACAUGUCCUGUAGUGGGGGAUAGCCCGGCGAAAGCCGGAUUAAUACCGCAUACGAUCUACGGAUGAAAGCGGGGGACCUUCGGGCCUCGCGCUAUAGGGUUGGCCGAUAGCUGAUUAGUUAGUUGGUGGGGUAAAGGCCUACCAAGGCGACGAUCAGUAGCUGGUCUGAGAGGACGACCAGCCACACUGGGACUGAGACACGGCCCACACUCCUACGGGAGGCAGCAGUGGGGAAUUUUGGACAAUGGGCGAAAGCCUGAUCCAGCAAUGCCGCGUGUGUGAAGAAGGCCUUCGGGUUGUAAAGCACUUUUGUCCGGAAAGAAAUCCUUGGCUCUAAUACAGUCGGGGGAUGACGGUACCGGAAGAAUAAGCACCGGCUAACUACGUG